UACGUAGGGGGCUAGCGUUGUCCGGAUUUAUUGGGCGUAAAGAGCGUGUAGGCGGCCAUGUAGGUCCGGUGUGAAAACUCGAGGCUUAACCUCGAGAUGUCAUCGGAAACCAUUUGGCUAGAGUCCGGAAGAGGAGAGUGGGAUUCCUGGUGUAGCGGUGAAAUGCGCAGAUAUCAGGAAGAACACCAAUGGCGAAAGCAGCUCUCUGGGACGGUACUGACGCUGAGACGCGAAAGCGUGGGGAGCAAACAGG
rnacentral:rRNA from 1 species